rnacentral:tRNA from 1 species
GGGUUCAAUGUUAGAAUUCCCACCUCCCAUAUGGGAGACCUGGGUUCGAUUCCCAGUCCA